rnacentral:lncRNA from 11 species
UUCCCAUAAGCCACAGCAAUGCGUGGCCGGGCACAGCUAGUCUAUAUAUAUAAAAGGGUAAUGGAAUCACGGCACCGGACAAAACAACUAAACUAAACGCCCCACAACCUUGAAAAUUGACAGCACAACCUCUCAUCCACGCCUCUACGUUCAUACAACAAAAAGAAAAGAAAAAUAAAGUCUUAAUUAGAGGGAGAGGAAUAAUUGUUUUUAUUCCAAUUGCUGCCAGUUAGAAGGCUAAGCUCCGCCCACUUGGUCUCCUAGCAACCCACUCAGCCCAGGAGACAGGCAGAGUUAGGCCUCACUUAGGCCUCUUCCACACUGCCUAUAAAAUACAGAUUAUCUGCCUCUACGUUCAUACAACAAAAAGCUCCAGCUACUCCAGAAAACGGCCAGGCUUUGAGACUGCAAGGCUAUUCGCUGCUAUUCCACCUGGCCAACAAAGGAUUCCCAUAAGCCACAGCAACGCGUGGCUGGGCAAAGCUAGUACAAUAUAAACAGCAUAUAAAAGAACAACACAUCACAACACAGGGAACAAUACAAUAAAUAAUAAUAUCCAUUACAAUGCAAAAUCAAGAAAACAAUAAAAACAAGGGCGGGCCACAUGAACAUUAAGUUAAAACUCGGGGUGAGAAAGACAUAAGAAUAAUAUGCAGGUGUUCCAAAAUCUGAAGCGAUCCCCAAAUCCGAAACGUUUCUGGUCUGGAGCAUUUUGGAGGAGGGAGGCUCAACCUGUUUACAUGUGUCUUUCCUUCCUUGUGGCAUCUCUCUUCCCUGCGUGAAUCAUCCAUCCUCUUUCUCUCUCGGCCCGGCCUUGUCCUUUGCCGCCUCCUUCUCUUCCAAGAGCCAGGCUCUUCCUGCUCACGGCGCUCCGGGGUCAGUCUCUCUGGAGCUGUCAGACAGAGUCAGGCUUCGGACCCAUCAAUGCGCAUCCAUCGCAGCCGCCUUUGUCGUCACAAGGCUCUCCUGGACCAGACGCAUCAGGGCAGGAAGAAGGAAAAUCCAUCAGGAAAGUCUCCGUCUUCCUACCUGGCUCAGCUUCAGGUCAUCCAUGUACAUCACCCCCAGGACCCCACAACUGGAAGACCAUCAUCCUAUGAGGGAUCGUCUAAGUAAAGAGAGGAAUACUGUAUCCUCCUCCACCACCGUUGGAUCAUUUUGGACACCCUUUUCUUUCCGGCUUGUCACCCAGAACUGGAAACCCCUUCCCCAAAUAUUCCUUCGUAAGGCUUGCUUUCUUAAGCAAGGGGACCCUGUGUUGCCCCUGAAUUUGGGAGGCAUGCACGGCCUUUGUCUGGCCGCUCAGCAGCCGGAAUUUGGGCCACGGCGUCGGCGUCGGCAGAGUCUUACGCGGCAGGCAAUGGCCCGAGGGACGUGGAGGAAGGGAAACCUGGCAACGGUCUCUGAUCUCUGCUAGGAAGGCAGUGCGGCGGGGAGGCAUCACCCCUCGUCUGCAGCUGGCAAGGAGCAGGAGAGGCAGCCGGGACCCAGGACCAGGUGCUUGGAAGACCCCGGACCAGCUGGACUGGGCUUUGCGAGGCCGGCCCUCCUGCGGCCCAGUCCCAGCGGAGAGGAAGCCGAGGCCCCUGCACACCAUCCUGCCAGGCUGGCAGUGCCCACCCGAGCCUGAGCCAUGCCCAGAGUGGUGUUUACUCAGCAAGGCUCUUUGUAGAUAAACUCCAGAAGGGUGGAAUCAUAGACUCAUAUAUUUGGAAGGGACCUCUGAAAGCCAUCCAGUCCAGCCCUCUUCUGUCAGGCAGGAAGACACCAUCCAAGGCUGUCCAGUUUCUAAUUCAGAGUAGGAAACACUAUCGGAUUAAACCAGGGGUCCCCAAACUAAGGCCCGGGGGCCAGAUGCGGCCCAUCGAAGCCAUUUAUCUGGCCCCCGCCUCCUCCCUUGCCCGGUGCGUGCCUUCCAG